rnacentral:rRNA from 1 species
GGUAACCUACCUAUAAGACUGGGAUAACUCCGGGAAACCGGGGCUAAUACCGGAUAAUAUUUUGAACCGCAUGGUUCAAUAGUGAAAGACGGUUUCGGCUGUCACUUAUAGAUGGACCCGCGCCGUAUUAGCUAGUUGGUAAGGUAACGGCUUACCAAGGCGACGAUACGUAGCCGACCUGAGAGGGUGAUCGGCCACACUGGAACUGAGACACGGUCCAGACUCCUACGGGAGGCAGCAGUAGGGAAUCUUCCGCAAUGGGCGAAAGCCUGACGGAGCAACGCCGCGUGAGUGAUGAAGGUCUUCGGAUCGUAAAACUCUGUUGUUAGGGAAGAACAAAUUUGUUAGUAACUGAACAAGUCUUGACGGUACCUAACCAGAAAGCCACGGCUAACUACGUGCCAGCAGCCGCGGUAAUACGUAGGUGGCAAGCGUUAUCCGGAAUUAUUGGGCGUAAAGCGCGCGUAGGCGGUUUCUUAAGUCUGAUGUGAAAGCCCACGGCUCAACCGUGGAGGGUCAUUGGAAACUGGGAAACUUGAGUGCAGAAGAGGAGAGUGGAAUUCCAUGUGUAGCGGUGAAAUGCGCAGAGAUAUGGAGGAACACCAGUGGCGAAGGCGGCUCUCUGGUCUGUAACUGACGCUGAUGUGCGAAAGCGUGGGGAUCAAACAGGAUUAGAUACCCUGGUAGUCCACGCCGUAACGAUGAGUGCUAAGUGUUAGG